AUCAACUUCGAAGACAGCUGUCAAGUCUGGGAGGAUAUGGAGAAGCAAGACAUGUGCAGUGCUGUCGGCGAAAGCCAUAUGCGUUCAGUGCAAAAAAGCAAAAAAGAAGUUGCAGUGCAGGCAGAAACGACGUUCAAGAAAGAGCAAGUACGUGCCUAUUACAUCUGCGCUGAAGACUAUAAGAGCAACAGUGCUGCGGGAGAAAUACAAGAGGGAACUGCUAAGGUUGAAAAGAAAUAUGUCAUCAGAUCCAAGCAAUGCACUGUUGAACAAGGUUUUAGCUGAACUUCCGCCACUGCAGCGACUUGCAUUUCGGACAGCACUGCAGUCGACGAAAGCGAAAACUUCAAGAGGUGUGCGGUAUGGCUAUGGGUGGCUGCUGAGUUGCCUUCUCUUGAGGAUUUCAAGCCCACGUGUGUACCGCUUGAUGUCAAGAAUGAGAAUCCUUCCUCUUCCAACUUCGACUAGGCUCCGACAAAUAAUAAGAGGAAUGCCUUGUGAGUUUGGCUUCAACAAGCUCUCCCUUGCCAGCAUUGGAGCUUAGAUGAAGACUACGAAAGGAGUCCAGUGUUACGGCACACUAGUAAUAGACGAAAUGAAGGUACGCCAAGCAGUAGCUUUCAACCGUCAAACCACUAUAAGAUUGAUGGGUUCGCAAAUUACGGAGACGGUGAAGUUUCAGCAGCUACUGCUGAUCAUGCAUUAGUUGCAAUGUCCGUGCCUCUAUUCCACCCAUGGGUUCAACCUAUAUUGCAAGCUUUGCAACAAAAAAUGCAGCCCCCGGACACGUGCUCGCCAAAAUAGUUCUUGAUUCAAUCGUGGAGCUACGCAAACACAACGCCAUUGUCGUCGCAGUUAUCAGUGAUCGCGCCAGCACGAACAAAAAAGCCAUGUGGUCCAACUUUGGCAUAUCGGGCAAGCUCCACUCAGCAAACCACAAAGUUCAGCACAAAUCAAAGCCUCUACUUCCUUUGCGAUGUACCCCACAUUGUCAAAUGCAUUAGAAACCAUCUUCUUCGGCACAAAGACGGCAUGAUUGGUGAACAUCGCAUAAACAAUGACCACUACCAAGUUCUGCAGGAAGUAGACGGCAAAGAGCAACUCCGCAUUGUUCCCAAGCUUACCGCUGAACACGUCUGCCCCGACAUGAGAAAAAUGAGAGUGAAGCUUGCAGUACAGAUCAUCCAAGAUUUCAUCGAUAUCUUGGACUUGACAGAGAGAGACCACGUUAAGAAAGGAACAGCCAUGUUCGCAUCGCAAGUAACAAUGGAGUCCUUGAGGG